rnacentral:rRNA from 1 species
UACGUAGGUGGCAAGCGUUGUCCGGAUUUAUUGGGCGUAAAGCGCGCGCAGGUGGUUCCUUAAGUCUGAUGUGAAAGCCCACGGCUCAACCGUGGAGGGUCAUUGGAAACUGGGGAACUUGAGUGCAGAAGAGGAAAGUGGAAUUCCAAGUGUAGCGGUGAAAUGCGUAGAGAUUUGGAGGAACACCAGUGGCGAAGGCGACUUUCUGGUCUGUAACUGACACUGAGGCGCGAAAGCGUGGGGAGCAAACAGG